GUAAAUGUUUCCUCAUAGCAGAGCUGAAGAUCAUUAUCUUGACAUAUAGUCAUGCGUUCUGAAAGAGGAUAAGCUUUUUCUUCUGGGUGAGGUCUGUGUUUUUCAUACCUCUGAGGCCUUGGUGUCGUGACAAGAGAGGCCAUCCAAUGGUGAAAUUUUUGGAGAAGUGGGUCAUCGUGAAUGUAGGUGCCAAGCGAUCAAUUUCCUCCUGGCUUUAUGGGAUGGAGCAAUGGCUGGAGAGAGUCUAGGAAGGAUCUCUUAAUUGGAGUCUUGUCCUCAAUCCUCCUACACAUACUGCAUGGAAUGGAAUAAAAGGGGCCUAGGAAGCUACCAGUGGCUGGUUUGGUGGUUGCAUUUAUAGAUGAUCUAUGUGUAGCAGCAUCAGAAAAGGGACAGGUUGUCGUUCCCUUCACCACUCCUGCCUUGGACUACAAAACCCUGGACCAAACCAUCACCAGCUGUCUCCUGGACAUAGAACAGUUUUCAACUACUGUCCCCAAAUCUAUUCUUGCCCUCCUGGACCCUCUACUGUGCUGCAGCUAGUAUGAUCAGAAAAGACAGGGAAGAGUUACCAGUCCCCAGGAAAAGCUGUGGCUGUAGGAAAGGGCUCUCUGCCAGGAGCCCCUGAGUGGAAUCAAUGAAGGAGUAGGCCUGCAGUAGAAUGAAUGAAUGAAUGAAUGAAUAAAGAAUAAAUACCGCAG
rnacentral:lncRNA from 1 species